rnacentral:tRNA from 1 species
GGGCCCUUAGCUCAGUGGUUAGAGCGUCCGGCUCAUAACCGGCAGGUCCCUGGUUCGAAACCAGGAGGGCCCACCA